rnacentral:lncRNA from 1 species
GCCAUCUUAUGAGCAGGGAGAGGCCCACAUCCCAAGGAGCUGAUGUUUCUGGCCAACAGCCAGUGAGGACCUGAGGCCUGCCAGGUCACAUGAGGGAGCCUGGAAGUGGGUCUUCUCAGUCCUGCCAACAGCUGUGAGUGAGCAUGGACGCAGAUCCUCUCCCAGUGGAGCAUUUGGAUGACCACGGCUCUGGCUAACACCUCACUUACAGCCUUGGGAGAGAUUCUGAGUCAGAGGCAUCCAGCUAAAUUGACCCACAGACACGCAAUAAUCAUCAAUGUUUCUGAGUGACAAAUGACUACAAAUGGCAAUCCUGCCA